rnacentral:snRNA from 1 species
AUCUGUUCUUAUCAGUUUAAUAUCUGAUACGUCCCCUACCCGGGGACCAUAUAUUAAAUUGAUUUUUGGAUCAGGGAGCCGGAACGGGGGCUUGCUCCUUCCACUCCACGCAUCGACCCCGGUAUUGCAUUACCUCCAGGUACGGUGC